CCCAACCCUCAUUGGCUUAGCGCGGAGCCGAGGCCAAGGUGAGGGGUGGGGCUGGCUGGAGCCGGAAGUUCCCGCCUUUGCCAGGCAGGCACCGCCCUCGGCGGGGCGGUCUGUGGUGAGCGGCGGCGACAGUAGUGUCCCGGUCGCGGCGGCAGCGGGCCCUGGGGUGGGGGUCGGCGGGCGGCGCUUCUCUUGGGUCCCCCGGGGUGUGGCGGUGAGUGCGGCUCUGUUCGGCCCCCAGUGACGGAGUCGGCGGCAAAGCGCGGCUGGAGCACCGGGUGUAGCCGCCGCCUCCCGAGGGCUGGGGACAAACCGGUGCAAGCGGCGCGGGGGGGGCUGCAGUACGGGGCGGCGGGGCCCUCCCUUCCCGGCUGUGCACCGGAGGCGUCUGCCCGUGUUUGUACCUGUGUAUACGCACACGUGUGUGCGUGGGUCUGUGUAACCCCGAGAUGUAAUGUUUAUAAAUAUGUAAAAGAUAAGAAAAAUUAGCAGAAGGAAGCCUUCGAAGCCUGUGGUGUAGAGUGAAGAAGUAAUGGCAGGAGAUGCCUGGAAGGUUCUGUCUCCUCCACUGCAAGUCUCUUCUCUGUUGAAAAGCCUCACGUGUCAGAAGAUUGCGUAGCCAAAGACAGUUUUAUUUUGGAGCUGUGCUGUCCGUAGGUUCUCUCCUAAACACCCCACAGCUGUCCUCUAAACUGAUAAAUCCUUCAGAAGCUGACAUGGCUUGUGCUGCAAAUAUAAAAGCAGCUGUAAGGAGGUGUGGGGCCACAGAUGUACUGGCACAUUCCAGUGGCUGCAGCAGUGACAAAUUGUCUGUAAACCUCAAUUUUCUAUAUAAGCAAUGAUAUAAACAUAUCUAUUAUUUUUGUAUUUUACACACUGAAUAAGUAAGCAAACAUAAAUCCAUGUGUCUCAUUUCUUCUGAUGCAAA